GCGACCCAUACUUGGUUUCAAG
rnacentral:miRNA from 1 species